rnacentral:rRNA from 1 species
ACCCUUUAAUGUUUGAUGUUCUAACGUGGACCCGUGAUCCGGGUUGCGGACAGUGUCUGGUGGGUAGUUUGACUGGGGCGGUCUCCUCCUAAAGAGUAACGGAGGAGCACGAAGGUUGGCUAAUCCUGGUCGGACAUCAGGAGGUUAGUGCAAUGGCAUAAGCCAGCUUGACUGCGAGCGUGACGGCGCGAGCAGGUGCGAAAGCAGGUCAUAGUGAUCCGGUGGUUCUGAAUGGAAGGGCCAUCGCUCAACGGAUAAAAGGUACUCCGGGGAUAACAGGCUGAUACCGCCCAAGAGUUCAUAUCGACGGCGGUGUUUGGCACCUCGAUGUCGGCUCAUCACAUCCUGGGGCUGAAGUAGGUCCCAAGGGUAUGGCUGUUCGCCAUUUAAAGUGGUACGCGAGCUGGGUUUAGAACGUCGUGAGACAGUUCGGUCCCUAUCUGCCGUGGGCGC